AACGCUAGCUACAGGCUUAACACAUGCAAGUCGAGGGGCAGCAUGAUUGAAGCUUGCUUCAAUUGAUGGCGACCGGCGCACGGGUGAGUAACACGUAUCCAACCUUCCGUACACUCAGGGAUAGCCUUUCGAAAGAAAGAUUAAUACCUGAUGGUAUCUUAAGCACACAUGUAAUUAAGAUUAAAGAUUUAUCGGUGUACGAUGGGGAUGCGUUCCAUUAGGUAGUAGGCGGGGUAACGGCCCACCUAGCCUACGAUGGAUAGGGGUUCUGAGAGGAAGGUCCCCCACAUUGGAACUGAGACACGGUCCAAACUCCUACGGGAGGCAGCAGUGAGGAAUAUUGGUCAAUGGACGAGAGUCUGAACCAGCCAAGUAGCGUGAAGGAUGAAGGUCCUACGGAUUGUAAACUUCUUUUAUAAGGGAAUAAAGUCACCUACGUGUAGGUGUUUGUAUGUACCUUAUGAAUAAGCAUCGGCUAACUCCGUGCCAGCAGCCGCGGUAAUACGGAGGAUGCGAGCGUUAUCCGGAUUUAUUGGGUUUAAAGGGAGCGUAGACGGGUCGUUAAGUCAGCUGUGAAAGUUUGAGGCUCAACCUUAAAAUUGCAGUUGAUACUGGCGUCCUUGAGUACGGUUGAGGCAGGCGGAAUUCGUGGUGUAGCGGUGAAAUGCUUAGAUAUCACGAAGAACUCCGAUUG
rnacentral:rRNA from 1 species